rnacentral:rRNA from 1 species
AGAUUGAACGCUGGCGGCAGGCCUAACACAUGCAAGUCGAGCGGUAGAGAGGUGCUUGCACCUCUUGAGAGCGGCGGACGGGUGAGUAAUGCCUAGGAAUCUGCCUAGUGGUGGGGGAUAACGUUCGGAAACGGACGCUAAUACCGCAUACGUCCUACGGGAGAAAGCGGGGGACCUUCGGGCCUCGCGCCAUUAGAUGAGCCUAGGUCGGAUUAGCUAGUUGGUGAGGUAAUGGCUCACCAAGGCGACGAUCCGUAACUGGUCUGAGAGGAUGAUCAGUCACACUGGAACUGAGACACGGUCCAGACUCCUACGGGAGCAGCAGUGGGGAAUAGUUGGACAAGUGGGCGAAAGCCUGAUCCAGCCAUGCCGCGUGUGUGAA